GAGAGAAGCCUGGUUCUAGGUCCCUUUUUUAAGAGAGAAAACGGGGGCCUGUGUUCAGCCAUCCUACCACCACAACCCUUCCCCCCCAAAACAGUUGAUCAGUACUUCAGUUUGAACAGUAUUGACCAUUUGUUUGGUGCUGUGUGCUGUUGCCAAUCAUGUAUUGGGAACCACCUGCAUAGUCCCUGGGUGAGCCUUGGGGACUACCUGCACAGUACCCGUUUUAGCAGGUGGUUCUCAAUUCCAGCAGCAGAUACUCAUGCAAAAGCCAGCUUCUCCACAUGUGACUCCCUCUCUGGUUGAGAACACAGAGAGACAAAACCAAAAUUACUGAACUGCGAAGAUAACAGGGCUUCUGGAAUAAGAACUGCCAUGUUUAUAUCAUGAAUGCAUCUACUACAGACAAAACAAGUUAUGGAUUCCUUAACUUGAGGCUUAGGUUUGUGGUCUCUGAUGUACUUUUAUAUACGUGUGUAUGGGAGAGAGAGUGCAUGAAUGGAUGUAUUUUGGCUGCAGUUUUCAAUGAAUCUAAGCAUGCAGUGAAUUUUUUCUCCAAAUUUCCCAUUUAUUCAAACUAACUAAAAAAUAACUUGCUAGUAAGAAUCAAUAUACAGAGGUGCCUCACUUGACGACGUUAAUCCAUUCCAGCGAAAUCAUUGUUAAACGAAAUUAUUGUCAAGCGAAUUUAAAAAAACCAUUGAUGCUCUUUUCCGUCCAUAGAAACUACAGUGGAACCUCUACUUAAGAACUUAAUCCGUUUUGGAAUGGUGUUCUUAAGUUGAAACGUUCUUAAGUUGAAGCAAAAUUUCCCAUAGGAAUGGACUGAAAACCAAUUAAUCCGUUCUGGCUGUUUUUUUUUUGUUUGUUAUGUAGAGGUGCGUUCGUACAUUGAAGCAUUAGUUCCCAUAGGAACUAAUGCAAAGCUGGUUAAUACGUACUCUACCACUAGGGGGAGAAUUUUUUUUUAACCUAAGAUGACCUUAAAAAAAGAGUAGGAAAGUUUUUUUUCCUGUUCUUAUCUUGGAUUUCUGUUCUCAAGUAGAAGCAAAAUUUAGCAAAUGGAGCUGUUCUUAAGUUGGAUUGUUCUUAAGUAGAGACGUUCUUAAGUAGAGACCCCACUGUAACUAAAAAAUAACAUGCUAGUAAGAAUCAAUAUACAGAGGUUAAUCCAUUCCAGUGAAAUCGUUGUUAAAC
rnacentral:lncRNA from 1 species